rnacentral:lncRNA from 1 species
AGCGUUUGCGGGAUGAAGAUAUUNUUCUUGACUCANUUCUGGAUAAUUCUUUGUCCAGCUGGGAACACGAAUCGAUUGACGAAGUAGAGAGAAAAGAUCAACACGGUAGCGGCUUUUCACCCACGAAGGAACCAUUACACAAACGAAGUCGUCUUGAAUGUGAAACGUGUGGAAAAUCGUUUUCAAGAAAAGAUGCCUUGAAACGACACGAGAAGGUUCAUCAAAAAGAGAAAAAUCAUCAAUGCGGACAAUGUGGGAAGAACUUCAGCCGUCGGGACUACUUAAAAAAGCAUCAGAAAGUUCACGAGAAACAUAGUGUUGCGCGUGAGUAUAAAUGUUUGACCUGCGGGCAAACGUUUAGUUCAGUUGGACAAUUCAAAUCCCACCAGAAGUCAGUCC